GCUCACAGGGGGUGGGGAAACUCCCCAAAUCCCCUCUUACACUGAUGAACUGAAAAAGGGACAUCCAAAUGGCCACGGGCCGAGGGCAGGGCAGCCCCUGGCUGUGACACUGCACCGAGUUGUCUUCUCCAAGGAGAAAUGAGAGGUGCCAGCAGGAAAAGGGAAAGGGAAAGCUCAUGAUGUCCCUGCUCCCAGUUCAGGUCCUGCAACACACUCUGCUUCUCCCCUCGGCCUUUCCAUGGGGGUUAGCCCCAUCCUGCUCAUCUCUCAGGAGUCCCAGGAGGGAGGAAAGAUGCAGGAAUUGCUGCCACUGAAUUCUGCAGCUUUCCAGGGAAACGGCAGGGCAGGUAAUUAAUUAUUCCUGCUAAUAGUGCCGGACAGGCCCUCGGCUGCUCCCCCAGAAGCACAGGCUGUGAGUAUCUCCCUGCACAGGUUGUUGCUGACAGUGUUCCAGGGGCUGUGUGUGAUCCUGCUUGGAUGGAAAGGGCAGCUGAGGCUCCCUGAUUUACUUACAGCCUUUGAGGACUGGGAUUAGACCGGCUGGGCAAAGCCACCUCUGCUGUGGGUGGGAUUCUGCUGCUUCCCACCAGCACUGCCCAGCAAUGCAGCAAUUUAAGUCCUGCAUGGACCACUGGGAGGGUCUAUCCUGUCCUUCCUGGGCAGCCUGGUCUGCUCUGAGCCUGGAAAUGCAGCCUCUUUUGGGAGUCAUGCAAGGGUAGGAGGUGUCCUACAGGCAGCUUGUGGAGAUUUUUGUCCCUCUGCAAGGGACACUGGAGUGCUCCUGGACACCCUGAGGGGACGAACAGGGAGCCUGCAUGUGUCCCCAUCCCCAAACUGGGUCAUGCCUAGGCUGGGGCAGGUCCAGUUUUGUAGCUGAGAAUCAGAAUCCCAGAAUCAUUUCAGUUGGCAAAGACCUCUGAGUCCAAAAGUUUACCCAGCCCUGCUAAGGAGAGAUGCUCUGAGGGUGUUACAGUUCCACCAGGCCAGCCCAGCAUCCUGUCCCCAGCUGCAGCUGCCCACGGACACCCAAGGAAGACUGAAACAAUUCAAUAUUUCCCCUUGGCAUUCUCCAGCACCUCCAAGGGAGAGGUUUUUGCCAGGUCCAGAUAUCCCUGGGAGCUGAGAACCCUCAGUGUGCUGUGAGUCCAUCCCCACUGCAAGGUGCCCAGAGCCUGUAGGACACCCCCAUUCCCUCCCAUCCCAAUCACUGAACCUUUUGAUAAAGAUUAUCCCGGGGCUGUAGGAUUUUCACCUUCCUCCUCUACACCAAUCUCUCCAAGCGCUUGCAGCUGCAGAUUCCCUGUGGGACGAGCUCUCUCUCCUGAUGACAGCACUCUGCCCCACUCCUCAUCCUCACCCUGGCCCUGCUGCCAUCCCCAGUGGACUUUGUUUUCCCUGAUUUGCCGAGUGUUUUGUGUGCCUCGCUGUGGUGAUCACGCUCCAGCCGUCAGCUUGCAGCGAGUCCCCGGGAGAAGGUGCCAACUUUAACAUAUGCCUGAACAGUUCUUUUCAGACAUAUACAAACUGGAACAAUGCCUCGCUGGGAAUAUGCUUGUUGGUGCAAUUUGCCAACUGUGGCUGCAGAUCUGCUCUUUUCAGCACGCACCAACUAUUUGUAGACGGUGCAAAAGCCGGGAUCGCCGCGCACGGAUGGGGGCUCUGGGAAGCUCUCUCCAGGCAUGCAGGAACCAGCAGGGAAGAGAAUCAAGGGCUGGAAAAAGACCUCUGAGUCUCACAAAUAAUGACCAGAUCAAACAUUUUGCUUCUGAGAACCUCAGUCUUUUUUUCCCUUUGCUUUAGGGAAGCCAGCACUGAUUUCUCCACUACCUGAAGCGGGAGCACGUUCUCACCUUGUGCGAGCAGGACUUUGCUCGGCUCACCCCAUUUCCUGGGUUCAGACAUCUCCCAGUGCUUCCUCCAUCACUGGUGUUCACCUUUCAGACUGCAGUGCUGGACAUUUCUGGGAGCAGACUGCCCACUCCUGGGGCUGUCAUCCUCAAGGAUGUACUGCUGACCACACCCUGGUGCCCACACCAGUGCCAGCCAUCAGCUCCCUGUACCUGACAUUUGCCUUCCUCACGUAUUUGGGUGAUAAAUUCUUCACGGCCUGGAGCUUGGUGCAGAACAACACCAGGAGGUUGCCUGAAAACAUGGGUCCUGAGGACUCCAGCAACACCCUGUGGAUGUCAGGAAAGAAGGGCAGGAAGCCAUGGGGGAGAAACCUCUAGAAUCUUGGUAAAAGCACUGGGAAUGAGACACUGGGAUGGCAGAGCUUGAGCCAAGGAAUGGGGUGGGCAGGUGAAGGUGUUUGCUGAGACCCAGGCUGGGGCCCAGAGAGCUGUGAGUGCUUGGUGAGGGCCCUUUUUUGGGAAACCUGACCCUCUUGGGAGCAGAUCCUCUGACAGCUGC